rnacentral:rRNA from 1 species
GACGAACGCUGGCGGCGUGCUUAACACAUGCAAGUCGAACGGAAAGGCCCUGCUUUUGUGGGGUGCUCGAGUGGCGAACGGGUGAGUAACACGUGAGUAACCUGCCCUUGACUUUGGGAUAACUUCAGGAAACUGGGGCUAAUACCGGAUAGGAGCUCCUGCUGCAUGGUGGGGGUUGGAAAAUUUCGGCGGUUGGGGAUGGACUCGCGGCUUAUCAGCUUGUUGGUGGGGUAGUGGCUUACCAAGGCUUUGACGGGUAGCCGGCCUGAGAGGGUGACCGGCCACAUUGGGACUGAGAUACGGCCCAGACUCCUACGGGAGGCAGCAGUGGGGAAUAUUGCACAAUGGGCGGAAGCCUGAUGCAGCAACGCCGCGUGCGGGAUGACGGCCUUCGGGUUGUAAACCGCUUUCGCCUGUGACGAAGCGUGAGUGACGGUAAUGGGUAAAGAAGCACCGGCUAACUACGUGC